GAGUAUCACGUGAGUAACCUGCCCUUAACUCUGGGAUAAGCCCGGGAAACUGGGUCUAAUACUGGAUAGGACUGAUCAUCGCAUGGUGGUUGGUUGAAAGUUUUUGACGGUUUGGAUGGACUCGCGGCCUAUCAGUUUGUUGGUGGGGUAAUGGCCUACCAAGGCUUUGACGGGUAGCCGGCCUGAGAGGGUGACCGGCCACACUGGGACUGAGACACGGCCCAGACUCCUACGGGAGGCAGCAGUGGGGGAUCUUGCACAAUGGGCGGAAGCCUGAUGCAGCGACGCCGCGUGAGGGAUGACGGCCUUC
rnacentral:rRNA from 1 species